rnacentral:rRNA from 1 species
AACGAACGCUGGCGUCAUGCCUAACACAUGCAAGUCGAACGAGACCUUCGGGUCUAGUGGCGCACGGGUGCGUAACGCGUGGGAACCUGCCCUUAGGUUCGGAAUAACUCCCCGAAAGGGGUGCUAAUACCGGAUAAUGUCUUCGGACCAAAGAUUUAUCGCCUUUGGAUGGGCCCGCGUUGGAUUAGCUAGUUGGUAGGGUAAAAGCCUACCAAGGCGACGAUCCAUAGCUGGUCUGAGAGGAUGAUCAGCCACACUGGGACUGAGACACGGCCCAGACUACUACGGGAGGCAGCAGUGGGGAAUAUUGGACAAUGGGCGAAAGCCUGAUCCAGCAAUGCCGCGUGAGUGAUGAAGGCCGUAGGGUUGUAAAGCUCUUUUACCCGGGAUGAUAAUGACAGUACCGGGAGAAUAAGCACCGGCUAACUCCGUG